CUACGUGCCAGCAGCCGCGGUAAUACGUAGGUGGCAAGCGUUGUCCGGAAUUAUUGGGCGUAAAGCGCGCGCAGGCGGAUCAGUUAGUCUGUCUUAAAAGUUCGGGGCUUAACCCCGUGAUGGGAUGGAAACUGCUGAUCUAGAGUAUCGGAGAGGAAAGUGGAAUUCCUAGUGUAGCGGUGAAAUGCGUAGAUAUUAGGAAGAACACCAGUGGCGAAGGCGACUUUCUGGACGAAAACUGACGCUGAGGCGCGAAAGCCAGGGGAGCGAACGGGAUUAGAUACCCCGGUAGUCCUGGCCGUAAACGAUGGGUACUAGGUGUAGGAGGUAUCGACCCCUUCUGUGCCGGAGUUAACGCAAUAAGUACCCCGCCUGGGGAGUACGACCGCAAGGUUGAAACUCAAAGGAAUUGACGGGGGCCCGCACAAGCGGUGGAGUAUGUGGUUUAAUUCGACGCAAUGCGAAGAACCUUACCAGGUCUUGACAU
rnacentral:rRNA from 1 species